GACGAACGCUGGCGGCGUGCUUAACACAUGCAAGUCGAACGGAAAGGCCCUGCUUUUGUGGGGUUCUCGAGUGGCGAACGGGUGAGUAUCACGUGAGUAACCUGCCCUUGACUUUGGGAUAACUUCACGAAACUGGGGCUAAUACCGGAUAGGAUCUCCCGCUGCAUGGUGGGCGUUGGAACGUUUCGGCGGUUGGGGAUGGACUCGCGGCUUAUCAGCUUGUUGGUGGGGUAGUGGCUUACCAAGGCUUUGACGGGUAGCCGGCCUGAGAGGGUGACCGGCCACAUUGGGACUGAGAUACGGCCCAGACGCCUACGGGAGGCAGCAGUGGGGAAUAUUGCACAAUGGGCGGAGGCCUGAUGCAGCAACGCCGCGUGCGGGAUGACGGCCUUCGGGUUGUAAACCGCUUUCGCCUGUGACGAAGCGUGAGUGACGGUAAUGGGUAAAGAAGCACCGGCUAACUACGUG
rnacentral:rRNA from 1 species